UGGGGAAUAUUGCACAAUGGACGGAAGUCUGAUGCAGCGACGCCGCGUGGGGGAUGAAGGCUUUCGGGUUGUAAACUCCUUUCAGUACAGAAGAAGCUUUAUUGUGACGGUAUGUGCAGAAGAAGCGCCGGCUAACUACGUGCCAGCAGCCGCGGUAAUACGUAGGGCGCGAGCGUUGUCCGGAAUUAUUGGGCGUAAAGAGCUCGUAGGCGGUUUGUCGCGUCUGCUGUGAAAGACCGGGGCUUAACUCCGGGGCUGCAGUGGGUACGGGCAGGCUGGAGUGCAGUAGGGGUAACCGGAAUUCCUGGUGUAGCGGUGGAAUGCGCAGAUAUCAGGAGGAACACCGAUGGCGAAGGCAGGUUACUGGGCCGUUACUGACGCUGAGGAGCGAAAGCAUGGGGAGCGAACAGG
rnacentral:rRNA from 1 species